CAAUAGCGUAUAUUAAAGUUGUUGCAGUUAAAAAGCUCGUAGUUGGAUCUGUGGUGUGCGGUGGGCUCCGGGCACUUGUUGUCUGAGUAGCUCGCCGCUGCCAUCCUUGGGUGGAACCUGUGUGGCAUUAGGUUGUCGGGCAGGGGAUGCCCAUCGUUUACUGUGAAAAAAUUAGAGUGUUCAAAGCAGGCUUAUGCCGUUGAAUAUAUUAGCAUGGAAUAAUGAGAUAGGACUUUUUCGCUAUUUUGUUGGUUUGCGCGAAGAGGUAAUGAUUAAUAGGGACAGUUGGGGGUAUUCGUAUUCCAUUGUCAGAGGUGAAAUUCUUGGAUUUUUGGAAGACGAACUACUGCGAAAGCAUUUACCAAGGAUGUUUUCAUUAA
rnacentral:rRNA from 1 species